UUCUAAAUACAAUGUACGUUUCUGAGGGU
rnacentral:piRNA from 2 species